AUGUAAAAAAAAGCAACUCAAGCUGGAAGACAGGGCCCUGCAAAGAGACAUCUUGCAGAACAAUUUGCAGUUGGGGAGAGAAUAACUAACAUGGCAAAAAAGGAAUGGAAAGUAGGAUUACCCGUUGGCCAAGGAGGCUUUGUAUGUAUAUAUCUUGCUGAUAUGAAUUCUUCAGGGUCAGUUGGAACUGAUGCACCUUGUGUUGUAAAAGUGGAACCCAGUGACAAUGGACCUCUUUUUACUGAAUUAAAGUUCUACCAACAAGCUGCAAAACCAGAAAUGGAUUCAUACCCAUAAGCUGAAGUACCUGGGUGUUCCUAAGUAUUGGGGGUUUGGUCUACAUGACAAAAAUGGAAAAAGUUACAGGUUUAUGAUAAUGGAUCACUUUGAGAGUGAGCUUCAGAAAAUAUAUGAGGCAAAUGCCAAAAGCUUUUCUCAGAAAACUGUCCUGCAGCUAAGCUUAAGAAGUCUGGAUAUUCUGGAGUAUAUUCACAAGCAUGAGUAUGUGCAUGGAGGUAUCAAGGCCUCAAAUCUUCUUCUGAGCUACAAGAAUCCUGACCGGGUAUACUUGGUAGAUUAUGGCCUUGCUUAUCAGUACUGCCCAGAAGGAGUUAAUAAAGAAUACAAACAAGACCCCAAAAGAUGUCACGAUGGCACUAUUGAAUCCACAAGCAUUGAUGCACACAAUGGCGUGGCCCCAUCAAGACGUGGUGAUUUGGAAAUACUUGGUUAUUGCAUGAACCAGUGGCUUACUGGCCAUCUUCCGUGGGAGGAUAAUUUGAAAGAUCCUAAAUAUGUUACAGAAUCCAAAAUUAGAUAUAGAGAAAAUAUUGCGAGUUUGAUGGACAAAUGUUUUCCUGAGAAAAACAAGCCAGGUGAAAUUGCCAAAUACAUGGAAACAGUGAAAUUACUAGACUACACUGUAAAUACUCUUUAUCAAAAUAUAUGCAAUAUUCUUUUGCAAGGACUAAAAGCUAUAGGAAGUAAGGAUGAUAGCAAAUUGGACCUCAGUGUUGUGGAGAAUGGAAGUUUGAAAGCAAAAACGGUAACAAAGCGAAAGAAAGAAAUUGAAGAAAGCAAAGAAUGUGGUGUUGAAGAUAUGGAAUGCUCAAGUACACAGACAGAGGAGCCCACACAGACCCACCUGUUCAAGAACCAGAAAGAGAGCCCAGAAGAGCAGCUGCGCGCAGAGGGCACGAAGACUCUCCUCGCUCUCACACUGCAGGCAGCUAAGUCGCUGUGAGAGGCGGCAGUGUUACCCCCGACCCGCUCCAGCCACCCGUCUUGCCACCUCCACAACCCUAGAACCGCCAGCACACGCCAGUCCCGUUCGCUACUCCGCCGGAAGUCCCGCCUGCGCCGCGGACGCGCCCCAUUGGGUCAGAUCCUGGGGCAUCACCGCAGGUGCGCCUUCCCCUGUGUGA